rnacentral:rRNA from 1 species
AGGACGAACGCUGGCGGCGUGCCUAACACAUGCAAGUGGAGCGACGAACCAGGCUUCGGCCUGGGGCAAAGCCGCGAACGGGUGAGUAACACGUGGGUAACCUGCCUCGAUGAUUGGGACAACCCGAGGAAACUCGGGCUAAUACCGAAUGUGCCCUCCGGCCAUAAGGCUGCUGGGGAAAGGAGCUUCGGCCUCCGCAUCGAGAUGGGCCCGCGGCCCAUUAGCUUGUUGGUGAGGUAACGGCUCACCAAGGCGACGAUGGGUAGC